rnacentral:rRNA from 1 species
AAGGAAUAUUGGUCAAUGGACGAAAGUCUGAACCAGCCAUGCCGCGUGAAGGAUUAAGGUCCUCUGGAUUGUAAACUUCUUUUAUAUGGGACGAAAAAAGGGCAUUCUUGCUCACUUGACGGUACUAUAUGAAUAAGCACCGGCUAACUCCGUGCCAGCAGCCGCGGUAAUACGGAGGGUGCAAGCGUUAUCCGGAUUCACUGGGUUUAAAGGGUGCGUAGGCGGAUAGGUAAGUCAGUGGUGAAAUCUCGGAGCUUAACUUCGAAACUGCCAUUGAUACUAUCUAUCUUGAAUAUUGUGGAGGUUUGCGGAAUAUGUCAUGUAGCGGUGAAAUGCUUAGAUAUGACAUAGAACACCUAUUGCGAAGGCAGCAGGCUACACAUAUAUUGACGCUGAGGCACGAAAGCGUGGGGAUCAAACA